GCACCGGCCAACUACGUGCCAGCAGCCGCGGUAAUACGUAGGGUGCAAGCGUUGUCCGGAAUUAUUGGCGUAAAGAGCUCGUAGGCGGUCUGUCGCGUCGGCUGUGAAAACCCGAGGCUCAACCUCGGGCCUGCAGUCGAUACGGGCAAACUAGAGUACUGCAGGGGAGACUGGAAUUCCUGGUGUAGCGGUGAAAUGCGCAGAUAUCAGGAGGAACACCGGUGGCGAAGGCGGGUCUCUGGGCAGUAACUGACGCUGAGGAGCGAAAGCGUGGGGAGCGAACAGGAUUAGAUACCCUGGUAGUCCACGCCGUAAACGUUGGGCGCUAGAUGUGGGGCUCAUUCCACGAGUUCCGUGUCGCAGCUAACGCAUUAAGCGCCCCGCCUGGGGAGUACGGCCGCA
rnacentral:rRNA from 1 species